rnacentral:rRNA from 1 species
GCGACCUCAGGAUGGGCGAGGCCACCCGCCGAGUUUAAG